AUUGAACGCUGGCGGCAUGCUUUACACAUGCAAGUCGAACGGUAACAGGCCGCAAGGUGCUGACGAGUGGCGAACGGGUGAGUAAUGCAUCGGAACGUGCCCAGUCGUGGGGGAUAACUGCUCGAAAGAGCAGCUAAUACCGCAUACGAUCUAUGGAUGAAAGCGGGGGACCGUAAGGCCUCGCGCGAUUGGAGCGGCCGAUGUCAGAUUAGGUAGUUGGGGGGGUAAAGGCUCACCAAGCCAACGAUCUGUAGCUGGUCUGAGGGGACGACCAGCAACACUGGGACGGAAACACGGCCCAGACUCCUACGGGAGGCAGCAGUGGGGAAUUUUGGACAAUGGGGGCAACCCUGAUCCAGCAAUGCCGCGUGCAGGAAGAAGGCCUUCGGGUUGUAAACUGCUUUUGUACGGAACGAAACGGUCUGGGUUAAUACCCUGGGCUAAUGACGGUACCGUAAGAAUAAGCACCGGCUAACUACGUGCCAGCCGCCGCCGUAAAAC
rnacentral:rRNA from 1 species